rnacentral:rRNA from 1 species
CCUACGGGGGGCAGCAGUGAGGAAUAUUGGUCAAUGGACGAGAGUCUGAACCAGCCAAGUAGCGUGAAGGAUGACUGCCCUAUGGGUUGUAAACUUCUUUUAUAUGGGAAUAAAACGUUCCACGUGUGGGAUUUUGUAUGUACCAUAUGAAUAAGGAUCGGCUAACUCCGUGCCAGCAGCCGCGGUAAUACGGAGGAUCCGAGCGUUAUCCGGAUUUAUUGGGUUUAAAGGGAGCGUAGGGGGAUUGUUAAGUCAGUUGUGAAAGUUUGCGGCUCAACCGUAAAAUUGCAGUUGAAACUGGCAGUCUUGAGUACAGUAGAGGUGGGCGGAAUUCGUGGUGUAGCGGUGAAAUGCUUAGAUAUCACGAAGAACUCCGAUUGCGAAGGCAGUUCACUGGACUGCAACUGACACUGAGGCUCGAAAGUGUGGGUAUCAAACAGGAUUAGAUACCCUAGUAGUC